AUGAAAUGGCCAGUGAGUCUAUUUCAUAAUUGUUGCCUUUAGUUAGACAAGUUAAUACAAUGUGACUGUGACACAUGACACAUUUCAAAACACAUGUAACCACAGGCAGCCUGUUUCUUGAGUCACAUGAAUGUAUGCACUGUGUAACCUCCCUCCAGUCAUCCUCCCAGCCGUUAACUUUGUUUUCUCACGGCUGGCCUCUUGAGAAUUUGACUUGCCUGUAUGGUACUUUGUUGUCAAAAAUUCCAGCUAACUGGUGGAAAGUGACCACUGCUGACAGAGACAUCAUCUCUGGAACGAAGAGCUGCAAACAAGAAGAGCACGCACUCGCUCUCCACAGAAGCUGAAGACAAAGAUGGCCACUUGCGACUCGUGUUUCUGGUGCAUCAUCUGGCUGGUGGUGCUGCUGUGCUUCGGCUGGCCCCUCAGCAUCACCUUAGGAGGUCUGUACGGCCUCGUCAGCCCCCUCACGACCUGCCUUGGCCUGGACCGACUCUCUGACCUGCUCCUGGAGGGGGCCAACCUGGGCCGGACGUGUGCGAUGAACAUGAGGCACUGCAGGCCUUUGUGCUGAGAUCAGGACCUGAAAACAACCAGAUCAAGACUUAAAGUGUGACCCUUCAGGACAGUUUAUGUCCUGAUGUGAUUAGCAACUUGUGGUAAUAUGGAAUUAACAGUGGAUUUGACACUUGUAUGGGCUAGUGGGGAAGGAAAUAGGCUUUGGGUUCACGGUCUGUAUUUGCAGUUUAAUUCAUGAUGACAAUGCACGGAGAAGAUAAGAAGGAAAAUAACUUAACAAUGGUGACGCUUAGCCUUGUAAAUGUGUGGAAACUUCUAAUGCAAUUAAAACUGCUGUGACCC